UGGGGAAUAUUGGACAAUGGGCGCAAGCCUGAUCCAGCCAUGCCGCGUGAGUGAUGAAGGCCCUAGGGUUGUAAAGCUCUUUCAACGGUGAAGAUAAUGACGGUAGCCGUAGAAGAAGCCCCGGCUAACUUCGUGCCAGCAGCCGCGGUAAUACGAAGGGGGCUAGCGUUGUUCGGAAUUACUGGGCGUAAAGCGCGCGUAGGCGGACAUUUAAGUCAGGGGUGAAAUCCCGGGGCUCAACCCCGGAACUGCCUUUGAUACUGGGUGUCUAGAGUCCGGAAGAGGUGAGUGGAAUUGCGAGUGUAGAGGUGAAAUUCGUAGAUAUUCGCAGGAACACCAGUGGCGAAGGCGGCUCACUGGUCCGGUACUGACGCUGAGGUGCGAAAGCGUGGGGAGCAAACA
rnacentral:rRNA from 1 species